UAAAAGAUAAGCUAAAACUAAAGCUAAUGGGCUCAUACCCCGUAAAUGAGAAAAGUUCUCUCUUUUUA
rnacentral:tRNA from 1 species